UAUUUCAGUUAUGAUGGUAAAGGAAAUGCAGGAGCCAUUGGAAUAUAUGUUGACAAAAGAAAUAUUGACUCCAUAAACAACUUUGAAAUAGAAAUAUUAAGUUUGGGCAAAAAUGGAUCUAUAGCUUGCGGUCUUGUACCAAAACAUUGUUCAAACGAUCAGCUUCCGGGACUUCUACAGGAUUGUAUAGGCUACCAUUCAAAUGGCAAAUUGUAUUGAGGAGGAACAGAACUUGACAUAACGUAUCAAAAAGCAUGGCAACAAGGCGACCGGAUAAGAUUUCAGAUAAAUGAAAC